rnacentral:rRNA from 1 species
UACAGGGGGUGCAAACGUUGCUCGGAAUCAUUGGGCGUAAAGCGCACGUAGGCGGUUCGUUAUGUCGGAUGUGAAAGCCCUUGGCUUAACCGAGGAAGUGCAUCCGAAACGGGCGUGCUAGAGUACGAAAGAGGAUCGCGGAAUUCCCGGUGUAGAGGUGAAAUUCGUAGAUAUCGGGAGGAACACCGGUGGCGAAGGCGGCGAUCUGGGUCGAUACUGACGCUGAGGUGCGAAAGCGUGGGGAGCAAACAGG